rnacentral:lncRNA from 1 species
AAUAAUUAAUCACUUUUUAUUCAAAUGCUCUAGAAGGAUUGUUAUCUCUUCCUUCUCAGUGGAUCUCACAACCUGAUCUUUCCUUCUAAUACAGUGUUUGGGAACAGAACAAGUAAGAAUGGACAGAGGAAUACCAUGUGCUGACUGACGAACGCCUGGGUUUCUGAACCAAUUGCCAUCAAGGGGAUUGGGAUUACCAUAAUUUUUGCUGAGACUAAGCCCCACCCCAGUAACCAAAGGCUUAUGGGUGGAAUGCAAGCUAUUGGAAGUAUUUGAAGAUGUGACCAAGGAAGCUAUGAGAAUUGGAAAUGAGGCAGUUGUUUAGAAACGGGCUGAUGUGCUUGUGGUAAGGUGGAAGGAGGAAGGCAGAUGAGGAAAGGAAUGUGCAACUGAAGCAAUUAGCUGUUACUAUGUAACGAACCAUCCCAAAACGUAGUGACAUAAAA